CAGACGUCAGCGGUUGGCCUUGUCAGGUGCUGCAGAGUCCCGGCAGCGGCGGAGGCUCCGGAGCUGGUUCUCAGUAGAGCGCAGCCCUUCAAAGCUACGUUUCUUGGAGAGAUUUGGAGACAUGAGACAUGCAGAAGGAGCUCGCCAUAUGAAGGUGAAGGCAAAAGCUAGAUGGAUGCAGCUAGAAACCGUGGCCUGCCAGCAACCUCCAAGGAGCUAUGAGGAAGCAAGAAAGGACUGUUCUUUGUGCUUCAGAGGAAAUGUGGCCCUGCUAAUUUUUAUUUUGGACUUCUGACCUCCAGAAUUGUCAAAGAAUACAUUUCUGUUGCUCUAAGUGA